GAUGAAGAACGUAGCGAAAUGCGAUAAGUAGUGUGAAUUGCAGAAUUCAGUGAAUCAUCGAGUCUUUGAACGCACAUUGCGCCCCCUGGUAUUCCGGGGGGCAUGCCUGUCCGAGCGUCAUUGCUGCCCUCAAGCACGGCUUGUGUGUUGGGCUCCGCCCCCCUCCCGGGGGGCGGGCCCGAAAGGCAGCGGCGGCACCGCGUCCGGUCCUCGAGCGUAUGGGGCUUUGUCACCCGCUCUGUAGGCCCGGCCGGCGCCCGCCGGCGACCCCAAUCAAUCUUUCCAGGUUGACCUCGGAUCAGGUAGGGAUACCCGCUGAACUUAAGCAUAUCAAUAAGCGGAGGA
rnacentral:misc_RNA from 1 species